AUGCAUUUUUUAAUACGUACACCACCCAGAUAAUUCUGGUUCAGACGGGCUUCUCACUUCACUUGGAGAAACCCUGCCUUUAGGUUUUUAACUCACCUUCUGUUUCAGGUAAGUUCACUUCUACCAACUUAGAUACCUAUAGGGUGUCAGAUCUUCUUUAGAUCUUGGGGAGACACAAUUUAAUACUUCUUUUUUUUUUUUUGAGACGGAGUUUCCCUUUUGUUGCCCAGGCUGGAGUACAAUGGUGCAAUCUUGGCUCACCGCAGCCUCUGCCUCCUGGAUUCAAGCAAUUCUCCUGCCUCAGCCUCCUGAGUAGCCGGGAUUACAGGCAUGCACCACCAUGCCCGACUAAUUUCGUAUUUUCAGUAGAGACGGGGUUUCUCCAUGUUGGUCAGCCUGGUCUCGAACUCCUGACCUCGUGAUCCACCCACCUCAGCCUCCUAAAGUGCUGGGAUUACAGGUGUGAGCCACUGUGCCCAGCCACGAAUACCGUUUAGAUAGGCUAAUAGCAGAGUUCCUCCUUGAUCUUCCUCAUCUUAUUAAUACAGGAAAUUGAAGUAUUUUGAGGAAUCACAUACUUCAGGGAUCAGCAAACAGAUUGUUGGAGACCUUCCAGUGUCUUGGCCUUCAACAAAUAUCUCCCAAAACUACAAAGACUCUAAAGGGCAACUUUUUGUUUGUUCGUUUGUUUGUUUGAGAUGGGGUCUCGCUCUGUCACCCAGGCUGGAGUGCAGUGGCGUGGUCUCAGCUCACUGCAACCUCCGCCUCCUGGGUUCAAGCAAUUCUCUUGCCUCAGCCUCCUGAGUAGCUGGGAUUACAGCGUGCUACCACGCCUGGCUAAUUUUUGUAUUUUUAAUAGAGAUGGGGUUUCACCAUGUUGGUCAGGCUGGUCUCGAACUCCUGACCUCGUGAUCCGCCCACCUCGGCCUCCCAAAGUGCUGGGAUUACAGGCAUGAACCAUGCGCCCAGCCUAAAGGGCAACUUUUAAAGGUCCAGUUGAUGAAGUCUUGAGAAGGGUUCCUUUUGAAUAAAAACUAAGGAAAACUUAGGCAAAAGACACUCUGGGAAAAUUCCUGUGGCAACUGCAAAUCAUGAGGCUAUGGAAAUGGGUAACAGGUCUUACCUGAACCCAAGUGUUCACUUGUUCAGACCAGGGGAAGUCACUUGGUUAUAAGGAAAUCUUGGGAGCUGUGUGGGGUUUCUGGAAGAAGUCAUGACUUCAGUGUUUUAAUUCUAUUUCUGCCGAUGACUUAAGGUCAGUCACUGUUUUCUGGGCCAGUUAAGCUUUCUAGGGCCCCUUUUCUGCUAAUAAGGAUGUAGUUUAGUGAAUAAGGAGUUUUUACAAUACUGCUUCUGUAAUUUCAGCUCUCCUGCCACAGCCCCUCACCCCCUGAAAAUGUUCUCCUGCUCCAAGUUCAUCUCCACUCCCUCCUUGGUCAAGAGCACCUCACAGCUGCUGAGCCGUCCGCUAUCUGCAGUGGUGCUGAAACGACCGGAGAUACUGACAGAUGAGAGCCUCAGCAGCUUGGCAGUCUCACGUCCCCUUACCUCACUUGUCUCUAGCCGCAACUUCCAAACCAGUGCCAUUUCAAGGGACAUCGACACAGCAGCCAAGUUCAUUGGAGCUGGGGCUGCCACAGUUGGGGUGGCUGGCUCUGGGGCUGGGAUUGGGACUGUGUUUGGGAGCCUCAUCAUUGGUUAUGCCAGGAACCCUUCUCUGAAGCAACAGCUCUUCUCCUACGCCAUUCUGGGCUUUGCCCUCUCGGAGGCCAUGGGGCUCUUUUGUCUGAUGGUGGCCUUUCUCAUCCUCUUCGCCAUGUGAAGGAGCCGUCUCCACCUCCCAUAGUUCUCCCGUGUCUGGUUGGCCCUGUGUGUUCCUUUUCCUAUACUUCCCCAGGCAGCCUGGGGUACGUGGUUGGCUCAGGGUUUGACAGAGAAAAGACAAAUAAAUACUGUAUUAAUAAG
rnacentral:sRNA from 1 species